AUGGAGGUGGUCGAGGCAGAGGACUGCCAGUCGGCGAGCUCGAGCUUGAGACGGGAAGCAGCGCUCCCGUCGCUAUGUGGUGGAGCUGCGCAGGAUGGGGAGCAGGCUGGCGACAGGGAUUGGUUCUUCAGUUCAUUUGCUGCAGGACUGAAUGUUCUAUGGGUUGGAGCAGAGGGUGUUGAGCAGCAUCUGAGAUUGGGUGAGUGCUCAGGUUCUAUAACUGACUCUUCUUCGAGUAUGGCUGUAGUAAUUCAAAGAAAAACAAAUAGCAUGCAGAUUUGCUUGUUUCAUCUAAAUCAAGGAAUUUUAUAA
rnacentral:rRNA from 1 species